UGUCCUCGCACGACCCCGGCCCGUCCAGAGCGCGCCCCGCUCCGACCCUCGGGGCGCCCGCGCGCGCGCGCGGGGCCAGGGGAGCGCGGUCCGGGCGCCCGAGCAAGGAUGCGGAAAGGAUGUGGAAUUCCAUAAAAAUGGACAGUGAGCACCUGGCCAGAUUGGCCCUUUGACGCCGCCACCUCCGGUCUGCCCAUCGUUGUUUAUCUGAGGUUCUGCAUCAUCAAGGAGACUGCAGGAGGAAGGCGAGCCAAACCUGGGAGCCCCUGAUGCUACCGAGUCUCAUCACUGGAGCCGUGAACUUUCAUCACGUGGAUCUGAACCAUCCGUGGGGCGGUUGGACGCACACGUCUACACGUGGCUUUCCAGGGCGGCGUCUUAGCCGAGGCAGAAACCCUCUUCCCGAGAGCCCUUUGCCGCUCCCACCCCCACUCCGCCCACCCCCGCUAAUGGGCAUGUUUCCGUGAGCACCAAAGACGAAAAACAUGCACUUCUGAAUGUGUCUCUUUCACAGGCCCACAUUUCUUUUGACUGCGCAUCGUGGCUGAGCCACGAAUUCCCCGCGAUUCUUUCCAGGUCGGCGUUCAGAGCGUUUGGCACCCUCGAUCGGGCCCUAAAAAAGCCAGAGGGCCCUGGCCAGGGACUCCUCCACUGCAUGUGGCUGGAAAGCACUUUCAAUAAAAGCUCCGUGGCUUUGCCUCCCGGUUCCCCUUGGCUGGUGCAGCUCUGGGCAUGCGGACCCAAGAUUCGUUCCGCGGCCGUGCACACGCGGGUACAUCUUGACAAGCUCGGGCUUCCAGAACUUUGCACAACACUGUAACCACAAGCACUCAGGAUAUGUGAGGCCGUGUUUCCCGGUUGUCUUCCGACACCCAGCCAUUUCCUGGCCCAGAGGCACGGCCACUGGCCUGAGCACAACCCUACCGGGGUGGGGGUGGGGGCUUUCUUCCUCCAGAUGAAGUAUGACCCCCUCCGUGGGGGGUUCAGGGCCCCUCCAACGUGCCGCCAGCCUUCCUGGCCGGCCUCACCCUCCAGCCCCUCCCUGGGUCCCACGCACUGGUCCAGGAGGCCACUUACCAACCAGCGAAGAGCCUGCACCCGCCUUCUAGGCCUCUCCUGGUGGGUCUCCUUCCAGCUCAGGGGCCUCACUCCAUCCCCAACCCAGCCAGCUGCCAUCCCCCUCCACCCCAGCCGCCUCCCCCAGCCCCGGACGUAUCUGCCUCCUGUUGCUGCUGAAAUAAAUCACCACAAACGUCACGCCUGAAAACCACACAAAUGUGUGACCUCACGGUUCCGGAGGUCAGGAGUCCGACAUGGGCUCACGGGCCUAAAGCCAAGGUGCGGGCAGGGCCAGCUCAUUCGGGAGGCUUGUUGUCGGCCUUUGUCCAGUGUCUGCAGGCCGCCCGAAUUCCUGGGCAUCCCCUGCCUUCAAGGGGCGUCACUACGACCCCUGCUCCCCUCACCACUUCCUUUCUCUGACUCUGACCCCUCCGUCUCCCUCUUUUCCUUAUAAGGACCCUCGAGGUUGCACUGGGCCCACCCGGGGCCUCCCAGAUCCGUGUUCUCGUCUCGAGGCCUUUAGCUCCAUCCCAACUGCUAAGUCCCUCUGGGGUCACGGAUUCAGCCGCGCAGGGUGCACCGUGCCUGGCAUGUCCCAGGUGAUGUCCUGACCGCCUCCAGCCUCCCGCUGGAUUUCUCAAAGCAGCGCGGGAAGUAACGGGACCAAGGUACCAGCCUCGUGACAGGUAGAGAAACUGAGGCACACGCUGGAAACACCAGUGCGAGACGGGGCAGGGAAGUGGGGUGCGGGGACCCUGCCAGGGCCGG